GACAAUGUGCCAGAGUGGUUAAUGGGUAUGACUCGAAUCUGCUUUCAUAGCAGUAGACAUCAUAUGGCUUCGGCCGCACAGGUUCGAGCCCUGUCAUUGUCG